CGGCGAGUGAAGAGGGAAAAGCUCAAAGUUGGAACCUGGCUGUCUUAGAUAGUCCGGAUUGUAAACUAAAGAGCGUGAAUCCAGGCAAGCCGGUUGAUCAAGCCCUUUGGAAUGAGGCGCCACUGAGGGUGAGAGCCCCGUAAAUCGACUGAGCAUUUGUCUUUUGUGUUUCGCGUUCAAAGAGUCAGGUUGUUUGGGAAUGCAGCCUAAAGCUGGUGGUAAAUCCCACCUAAAGCUAAAUACAGGCGAGAGACCGAUAGCGAACAAGUACCGUGAGGGAAAGAUGAAAAGUACUUUGAAAAGAGAGUUAAACAGUAUGUGAAAUUGCCAAGAGGGAAGCAUUUGGAGUUAGACUGACUUGAAGUUAAUCAGCUUGGUCUUUGGACUGGGUGUACUUGACUUCUAUGUCUGCCAAUAGCAGUUAGUCCUGGUGGAAAAAACUGAAGGGAAGGUAGUCCUUCGGGAUGUUUAUAGACCUUUGGAAAAUACACUGGGAUUGACUGAGGAAUGCAGUAGAUGCUAUUAAGGCUUCGUCUAGUAGGUGUUAGGUGAAGGUACUUGGUAUUUUCAGCUUGCUGAUGUGCUAGGUUACUUGAGCUUAAUUGCUUGCUAGAA
rnacentral:rRNA from 1 species